AAUUUGUCAACUAAUAAAAUAUAGAACGGAACAAGCUCUACAAUUUAUUAGUUGACGACUUUUUGUUAU
ensembl:ncRNA Y94H6A.14 ncRNA